GGAUUUGAUGUAGAAAGAGCUGCAGAAGGCAUCUCAUCCAUCAUUGGCAUACACAAGUGAUUUGGUCACAGAAUGCCCUGAAGACUAUAAAGCAUUGAACAGAAGCAGUCACCGUGAUUUUCAUGGGGCUUGCUGGAGGGAGGACGGCAGAGAGGAAACCAGUGGAAAAUAGCACAAAGCAGCAUGUAAUGGAGAACUUGCUAACAAGGUGUGGACUGCAAGUGUCUUAGAAGUUGUGAAAAAGAGGGAUCCGUAGGGGACAAGGGAGUUGAACGACAAAGUCAGGGAAUGUUGGGGUUGAAGGUGGAACUGACAUGGAUAAUAUGACUUUACUGGGAAAAGCUCACUAGAGACACAGCCCCUAUGCUCAUGGGAACCGUCACUUCUGAUGCACCUGGAAUAGUAAAAGGGGACCUGCAGGCCAUGAGAGAAAUAGAAGGAUGUGAGUGAGAUUAGAAAUCCCCAAAACAAGGUGAGCAGCACGUGGAAACAGAGCACAAUGCACUUAGAGGCUGAGCUGAGCUGAGGGAUGCGGUGCCCACAGCCCCUGCCUAGGCUUAGGUUACCAUAGGCCAGGGCUGAAUAAGGGAGCAGACUAUUGAGGGCACUGUGUGCUUUGCUCUGACCCUUUGGAAUGGGCUGGCUGCCUUGGGAGGCACAUGCCGUGCCCUGAGGAGCAGCGUGUGUUCAGAGUGACUGCCAGCAGCUGACUGCUCAGUUACGCCACUUGAGAUGCAACCUGAGGCCCUGGAAUCCCCGUGCUUGGAGCCCUGUGCCUGCUGGCUGAGCCAGACACACAGAGCGUCAUUCCUCAGCCUUCACACUCCCCAAAGCUGGCAGCAAGCUCUAAAAGCCAGACGCCUCUCAAUGGGCGCCCAGGUAGUCCAAGCACCUCCCCACAUGGUAGUGAGUAUCCUGUCCUAAAAGCAACUCAAAAAAGCCAUUUGGUGGGUGUGUCCUAGAGGGGCUUCCAGCAUCAGAUCCGUGAAGGGUUUAACGGCUAGGAAGGUUGCUUCUAAUGCUGAAAUUCAAUCCUUCUGCGAAAGUGCAUUUGUGAUGGCUAGAGGUAUUUAUAGACCAAUAAUCCAUAGAGUCCUGUGAGGCAGUGGAGGUGAAUUUGCUCCAGAGGCCGCCUCUAGCUUCUGCACUGGACUCUACCUCACCUUGGUGCUCCUUGGUGCUACAGUGCACUUUUAGGAUAGCACUUUCCACGUGACGUUCAGUCAUCUGUUCAUGAGACUCUCUCCUGCAAAUACACCAAAGCCCCUUAAGGGCAAAGACGGUUUUUUUUUUUUUUUCCCUCUCACUUUUGUACUCCCAGCUCUUACCACCGUUCUUUGAAUAUAGGAGUUCUCCACUAAUGAUUCGGGAACAGAAUCAAACCAGGCCAGGGGCCAAGCAGCCACCAAAGACUGUCCUUCUGGCCACUCUGCUCACUGCCCCCAUGUCAAAAUAUAAGAAUUUUAAUCCCCCAGGAGGGGAGCGUCAGGAAAAUAACCCCGUGAUCUGCUUUCUUGGGAAGCAUAGCCUUGAAGCAGGAACACGGAGCUUUCGGGAAGAUGCACGGCCCUGCUAGCUCAGAUCUUCCUUCUCCAAGAGGUGGUUUCCCACAGAGACAGCCAGAUCUGUGGGACAUUUAGACCCUCAUGGCCUCUUUCAGGAAGGAGCUGGUUCUCUUACUUGGCUUCAUUUUGAAAUGCUAAUUUGGUACACACAGGACUCUGCCAGAGCAUCCAAGCCAGAGUUCGAUCUGCUUCAGAGCACUUCUUGUUUUCAAUGGCUGGAACAUCCUCUCUGGAGAUGACACCCCUCUUAGGUUAAAGUGUGUUCCUUAUUGUGUUGAAGAUGAUCUUUCUCAUUAGGAAUGAACUAUAGACACACAUGUCCACCUUCAAGCAGCAGUUACGACCUUGAAAUCACGGGUAUGUUGAGUAUCUGUACUGUAUAGUUGAGUACCUGUGUAAAUGAGUUUUCCAUGUAUAUAAUCUUAUAAAAAUAUAUGCAUGGAAAACUAAUUAGCUAAACCAGUGGAAUUAAUGUAUAUAUUCUUGUAUGCAUGCAUGCAUUUAUUUUUUGUAAUCAUGGAGAUCUUUUACCAAAUAAAAUCCUGUGUGGG
rnacentral:lncRNA from 1 species